GAAUUGACGGGGACCCGCACAAGUAGCGGAGCAUGUGGUUUAAUUCGAAGCAACGCGAAGAACCUUACCUAAGCUUGACAUCCUUUUGACCGAUGCCUAAUCGCAUCUUUCCCUUCGGGGACAGAAGUGACAGGUGGUGCAUGGUUGUCGUCAGCUCGUGUCGUGAGAUGUUGGGUUAAGUCCCGCAACGAGCGCAACCCUUGCCUUUAGUUGCCAGCAUUAAGUUGGGCACUCUAGAGGGACUGCCAGGGAUAACCUGGAGGAAGGUGGGGAUGACGUCAAAUCAUCAUGCCCCUUAUGCUUAGGGCUACACACGUGCUACAAUGGGUGGUACAGAGGGCAGCCAAGUCGUGAGGCGGAGCUAAUCCCUUAAAGCCAUUCUCAGUUCGGAUUGUAGGCUGAAACUCGCCUACAUGAAGCUGGAGUUACUAGUAAUCGCAGAUCAGAAUGCUGCGGUGAAUGCGUUCCCGGGUCUUGUACACACCG
rnacentral:rRNA from 1 species